rnacentral:lncRNA from 10 species
CUUUGAAAUGGGAAAUUCUUUCCUAGUGCCUCGAACGUAAUAAAUGACUUGAAGUGGGUAAGAAGAGGCUACAAGAAUGAAUGAGUGAGUGAGUGAACGUAAUAAAUGACUUGAAGUGGGUAAGAGGCUACAAGAAUGAAUGAGUGAGUGAGUGAGUGAAUGUAAUAAAUGACUUGAAGUGGGUAAGAGGCUACAAGAAUGAAUGAGUGAGUGAGUGAGUGAAUGUAAUAAAUGACUUGAAGUGGGUAAGAGGCUACAAGAAUGAAUGAGUGAGUGAGUGAGUGAAUGUAAUAAAUGACUUGAAGUGGGUAAGAGGCUACAAGAAUGAAUGAGUGAGUGAGUGAGUGAAUGUAAUAAAUGACUUGAAGUGGGUAAGAGGCUACAAGAGUGAAUGAGUGAAUGAGUGAGUGAAUGGUGGGCAGGAUAUGAGGAGCCUUAAGGAUUUACCUCCAGCAGGGAUGGGGCAAGUGACCAAUGGAGCUCCAAGCAUCUGCGGGAGGUAAACAGCAGAUGUAUAAAAGGAGCCUUCUCGAGAGCCUGCAGGUCUAAGACCACAGCGAUAGGAGGACAGGGCAAGAACCUCUGUUCCAGAAGGAUUGGGACCAGGAAGAAAGCUGCAGAGAGGCAGGCUCGUGCUCACCUGCAGUCAUGCCCAUCUUGCCCACCUGCUGUCUGCGACUAGGCCAACUCCUAAACCUCUCUGAAGCUUAAGACCUGCCACAGUGGGCUGUGCCAGAGUUGGAGUGGAGACUCACUGAGAUCAUCUAGAAGAGGCACCUGCCUCAAAGCCUUCAGGGUCACUCAUCUAUUCAUCCAACAAAUAUUCAACAAGCACCUGUUACAUACCAGAUUAUUACAUACAUGUGGCAGUGCACGUAACUGUGAAGCUGUGUACUACAGCUGCAGGGCGAGGACUGGGGCUUUAGCUCCCACCUUGUGCAAUGUGGGAUCUUCUCCAUCGUCAUAUCAAGCCACCCCACGUGUAUUUAAUGUAAGUUGGAACACUGUGCUUGCUACAAAAGUCAGCUUCAGAAGAAGCCCCUCCGUGGAUCACCACCUCCCUACAAGCUGCAGUCCUAAUCUCCUAUGUCAAAAUCAGGGACUGCUGCUGCCCCGGGGGGUUUAGAGAUGAAGACCCAGACUCUGACUGAGGAGUCUCCCAGUGAAAGGAAGGAGGCAGAAGCCCAGUCACCAGUGACGCCACCCAGCUGAGUGGACCGCGCAGAGGGAGGCGGACGCAGGGCACUCCAACAUGGACCUGAGAGGCACACACUGCAAUGCAAAUCCUCCACGAUAGUCCACAGGAUGUACUGGGAGAAACUGGAAGGCCACAGGAGAAACGUUUGCUCACGAAAACACAGGCAUUUCAUGUGCCUGGAGCACGGGAUGAAGAAUUCCUUAGACUUUGAGUGCCAAGCUAGUGCUUGGACUUUCUUCUAAAGGUCAUGGGUGAGCCCUUGGGGAAUGUGGAGACCACUCCGGCCUGCGAUGGAGAAGGAAAUUGUGCCAGAAGCUGGGAAGUCAAAGUUAACCCUCCAGGCUAGAUGUCUGUGUCGCUGCUCCGGGAGCGCCUGCGCUCACAUACCCCGCGGUGCACAGUUACCAACCAGAUCCUACCACGCCACUGCGGACAUCGCGGUUUCCGGGAAGUCUCUGGCCUUCGUAUGAAAAGACAGCCCGACAGGUUGAAUUCUUUAAAACCUUAUCUUUGGUUAUUUUAAUAGGAUAUGACAAUCUCCUCUCCUCAGCAUGUCGAUAAAUGUUUAUUGCCCUUUACUGUGUGAGAGCAGGGGUCCUGCCGCCGCUUGUUUUUAUUUUCUUUUAGACGGCGUGAACAUUUUUAGCACGUGUAACCAAUGAUGGUAAUUAAGAUUAUAAUAAUGCUGAUGCCAACAUUUAUAUCAGUGGAUACAGAAAAUACACAGCCUGAUUAUUUUUUAUUACUCGUACCCAUAAAAUUAAAGAUCUUAAACAUGGGAUGGAGGGUGCAUCCGCAUCAAGAUUUUGUUAGCAUGAGACCGAACCCAUUCAGCCACGGCCUUCAUCAGAAGCCUUUUGAGUGAUGAGACAGUGAUGAGAUAGCUCGCGUUAUCCUGCAGCACAGAGCUGCGCCUGGUCACGGCAGGGUGCACCGGCUCUCGGGCUUCAGACAACAGCUUAUCAGUACCUUGCCCGUGUGCAAGGACAGUACUCCUUGAUGCCCUGAAACCUCCGCUCCUACUAACUGUCCUUGGACACGUCGGCAUACAGAGAAUCAAUCGUACUCUCAGCAGUGGUUUCUGCAGCAACUCUGGGUCAUGGAAGAAGCCAAGUGCAUUGUUGAAACAGCAGAGCCCAGGCAGUGCCCCGAUAGAAACCAGGUAUUGAGUGCUUGCACCCGUUCCUGUGCAGGCGGGCGUCACGCACACCUUCUGCUGGAAGACACACUGUCUACGUGAACGCCCAGCCUCCCUGUGCCCUGCCUUGUCUUGUGGAAUAUGUCGGCACCCCCAAAGAAUACACCUUCAAAGCCAAAGGGGAGUUUCUGUCUGUCUGCUUCACACUGUCCUUCCUCCUCUCCCACCCCUUCUCUGUGUGAAGAAGUAAAGCAAAGCUCUUAAUGAUCACCCUUAAAUGGCAAGACUUUGAUAGACUGUUUCUAUAAUAGGUUCUCAUUGAAACAUGGGAGUUCUAAAUAGAGAACUGUUAAAAAGUGGAAUGAGAGAUGAGGGACCGAGUCGUGGCCCUCCUUCCUGGUCUCCACCAUGUCAAGUAUGCCUCCACCCCGGGGCCUUUGCACCUGCUGCGCUGCUCUUCCUUCAGGUCCCCACAGUAGGCCCUUUGGGAACUCUGAUCAAGUGUUGCCUUCUCCGAGAGGCCGCCUCUGACCAUCCCCUGGAAACCAGCCUUCUCUCCCCCACGCCUGGGCUAUUCCUCCCGGUUCUUAUCUUCAUCUUGUGUUUCAUAUUUGUUUUACUUGCUGAUCACCAGAAGAAGGCCUUAUAAGUCCAGGCACUCAGGCUUCCUCUCCACUCGAUCUCCAGUAUCCAGAAGCAUAUCGGAUGAGGAGGAGAAUGCAAUAGAAAUUAGUCGCAGAAAUCAAUCAUGGAGAAAGGAAAUGUUCUCAGUGAGGUGUUUCAAAUAUGCAGCGUACAAGACUUAAGUGGAAGACUCACUUAUAAAGUAGCUGACUCGCCCAGCAGAGGCACCCAUUUUUAUACUUUCCCCUUUCACCUUUCUUGUGGAUAAAGCCAGUGUGAUGGCUGGAGCUUCAGGAGCCACGUUGGACUAUGAGGCACCUUGAAGACAGAAAGGUGUGCACUGAAAAUGCUAAAGCUGAAUGACGGUGGGAAGGUGGGUCCUGGGAAGUGAUGGAAACCCCGUGCCAGCCUUGGAAUGCCCACAUCUGUCUAGUUUCAUCUGAGAGAAUAAAACAUUAUAUAUGUUCCAGCCAUUGUUGUUUUGGCUUUUCUGCUAUAUAUAGUUAAAGGUUUCCUAUACAUAUAUCAGAGAACCAUUGGGAUUCAAUUUUAGUCACUUAUUAUAAUUCAACGAAUGCACUUUACUUCUCUGAGCAAUGUUAUGCCUUCAUAAAGCCAAUAAAACAGCGUAAUUGUUGAAGAAAUUGUGCAAAUAUAGAAUACAAUCAUUCAAGGCAACCUAGUCUCUUAGCCUGCGAGUGUUCUAGAUGUAUACAAGACAAAUGCAUUCAUUCAAAUAUUCAACAAAUAUUUGUUGAGUACCUACUACUAUGUGUCGUGUAUUGUGUUAGGUUCACUAAAACACAGUAGGAAAGAGCUGGAAUUGGAAUAAAUGCUUUGAAUUCUGACUCACUGCUUAUUAGUUGUGACCCUGAGCAAGGUGUUUAACCUUUCUGAGCUUCAGUUUUCUUAAUAGCACUUAGUUCUCAGAGGUGUGUGAAUAUGGAAUGAGAGGUAGAUAAAUGUCUGAACAGAGUUGCUCAGCGGUUACAGUAACACAGUUUUGCUAGCUACCAUGUCUGCAAUGUGAUCCUUUCCAUCAAGGAGCCCCCUCGUGGGAGAAACACAGAUAAACAGAUAAUACAGUGAAACUUGGAAGGUGCCGUAACAGAAGGGUAAGCAGAGUGGUUUGAGAAUCUGGAGAAGUGGGUCACUAGCUCUGUUUAGGUGAGUUGAAAUCAGGUUGCAUUAUAGUCAUUGGAAGCAUUCACUGGAUAUUUCCAGUUUUCCUUCUCCUGACACAUGGUAGAGUUGUCUUGAAGAGUCAGUACAAGUCUCUAGAUGAAGAAAGAGGUUUCAACACUCUAGGGCAAAUGAAAUUUUUAUGCAAAGCCGAGUCAUAAAAGGAUUAAAAUUUGGUGAUAGGAUCAGUGCAACUGUGACCAACGCUGGGUUCAUGGGGUGGUAGAAGGCAGAAGGUGAGUCUGGUUAGGUAGAUAGGGUUGUAUAUUUAGGGCACCUUUGUGCAAGGUGAAUUUCCCCAGAGUAAUUUGAACUUGAAAACCACUCAUCAAAAUCUCCUGAUUCAAUAAAUAAGAAGGCUGGAGAAAUGUCACAAACUUCUUUGGAAAGGCGUAUGGGACCUAAGAGUGAUCUACAUAGCCAAUUUGUUGCUCAUCUAUAAAGACAACAGGCAAAUUACCUCUCAAAUAUGAGAGAGCUCAGGGAACAGAGCAUAUUAAAAAGUGUCUGGAAAGAAGUUUUGAGUUGUUUGUUUUCAGUAACAAAAUCCAAGCAAUUAAUAGAUGGUUAAAAAAUAAGCAUGUUCAAAGAACGGGUGGCAUGAAAUGGAUCAAUGUAAAUGAAGGAUAAGUAUUUUAAACUCAUAGGAAUUACAUUACAGAAAAAAUGUAUUUUUUUACCUUGAAAAUGCAGAAAAUAAUGUAACUGACAAAUGUUAAGGUGGGGAAAAAGGAGAAAGGAGAGGUGAAUGGAAAUGAGAUGAUGAAUGUCCUCAGAUUUCAAAGGAAGAAGUGAAGCAAUGCUGUAUAGCAUUUAAAUGGUAUUUUUAAAAAUGCUUCUAACUUGUUGCAUACCUUUCCUCAAGGGAUCUUUUAGGAAAUAGUAACUCUUGGUAGAUAAACAUUUGUUUUUAGGUUCAGCAAUUCUUUGUCUUUUCAUUUUAUGUUCUCCUCCUUACUUGAGCUAGGUGCACUUUAUGUGCUCUAGGAAGGCUUAGGUGCAGACACAGGGAGGGGUGGAGCGGGAGGGACAGGGCCUUGAAGAUGUGUCUGGGGAAUUAGGCAGAAGCCAGUUCAUAUAGUGCCUUAUGUCUCAGGCCUACCACGUUCAGGAACUUUGACUUUUCCUAAAAGAUAAUGGGUGAGUGGGGAGGAAGGAGAAUUUGAAUUAUACAUGCAUUUAUUUUUUUUUUCUUUUUUGAGACAGGAUCUAGCUAUAUUGUGCAGUUUGGCCCCCAACUCUUGGGCUCAAGUGACCCUCCCAACUUAGCCUCCUAAGUAGCUGGGACUACAGGUGCCAGCAAGAGGGCCCGGCUAUUUGAUAAAGAUCACUUUGUCACUUUGGCUGUCCUGUAUUUAAAAACCUCUUUAAGCAACAUGAUUUAGAGCUGCUCUAUCAGCAUGAUCUUAUGAUCUUAUAAUCUUAUGAAUCUGGACUAUUCAGGAUGGACCUCAUACUCUGAUCCUUCCUUCAAAUUUCAGAUCUUUCCUUCAGAUUCCUAAAUACUACUUUGGUAAACACUUUACAGACUAAACUAGGCAGAAAAAACUAUGGUGAUUCUUUUUGCUGAUUAAAUCCAUGCUCAGUAGUUCUCUUAUCCUCAGAGAAGCCAGGAUCUCAGGCUUCAGGCCAUGCCCUGUGCAAGUCCAGGGGAGCUGUUGACAUGAGCAACAAAGGGGGUGGCUGCCUCCUCAGCUGUGCGAUGCUGAGCCCCUGGGGGAAGGGGCUGGUCGAGAUUAUGUGGUCUAUGUCCCCUCUCCCAUCACUACGAAGAAAGACAGCUGCAAAGUCCUAUUUUUUAAGGCCUCCAGGCAAUGAAAUCAACAAUUAUUUCAAAGUUGAUAUUUAAUAACCCUCGUUAUUAUCAAAUUAUUUUUUAUGGAAAUCGGACACAUUUUUCUAAUUGUAUUCUACCCCUUUCUCUGGUUUUAUCAUCUUUUGAGGAGGUCAGCUGACUAAUCUUUAUUUUAUCUAUAGCCCCUAAUGUUAUCAAUGCUAAUCAAUCACCACGUAGUUUCCUCUUUUCCAGUCUAAAUAGUCCUAGCUCUUUGAUGUACCUUCAAAUGUCCAAUUUUCCAAUCCUUUAUAUCUUGAUCUUUUAUAAAACAGCUUCCCAUGUUGCACAAAAUUUAAUAACAAAAGCAAAGAUACGUGAAGCCUAUAGUGAAGCAAUGACGCCAUCCUCUUUUUGACCAUGCUAGAUUCAUAAUUUUGUUCUACUUUUACCCUAUUUUAAAUCCCCCCUUUCAAAAUCGCUGUAGAUGGAGAUCAUACAUUAGAGAUAUAAUUGCAUUUGAAAAGGAUGGCCCUUUCAUUUUCUGCUGUUAUAGCAGACACUGUUAGUUGCUACUGAAGUGACAGUACUCCUUUUUCCUGGUUUCCAAUGCCCAGCUUUUGUUCAACUGUCUCUUCAUGGGAUGUGGACACCUCCCAGCCCUGGAGGGUGCAUCUCUUUUAGUGUAAAUCAGCCAUCUCCUUCCUCAUAAUCAAUGGAACCAGGAGCUUGGGACCCAAUCCCAGACAAUGGAAGUGAGGCAGAGGCAGCUGGUGGUGGGGUGGCUCUGGGGUCAUUUGCAUCAUUCCAAAAAGACACCCCAGGAAGAGACACUGCUUUGCUGGACAUUGUUAUGAGAUGACAUGCUGCCUGGAGCUGCCGCAACCAUCUUAGAAACACAGGGGGCCAAGCGUCUGAAAUGAAAGCAAAGAUCGGGAGGAUGGCUGAGUAGAAAGAUGAAGAGAUCCAGGGCUUCUGUGCACGCCACUUAGCUGCCUAAUUAACCAGCCCUGGGCUUCCUGUUGUGUGAGUUAACACAUCCCUUUGCAAUUUAGUGAUUUUCACUGUGUGGUCCCAGACCAGUAUCAGCAUCAUCUGGAAAUUUUUAGAAAUGCAGAUUUUGGGGCCCUACCCCAGACUUGCUGAGAAGAGUCUAGGAGUGGAGUCCAGCAAUCUGUUUUUAACAAGCCCCUCCAGAUAAUUCUAAGAAGUCCUGAAGUUUGAGAACUACUGCUCUGAGCUUGCUACAGUCUGAAUGUCUGUGUCCUCCCACCACUCCUAUAUUAAAAUUUGAAUCCCCAAAGUGCUGGUAUUAGGAGGUGGGGGUCUUUAGGAAGUGAUUCAGUCAUGAGGGCAGAGCUCUCAUGAAUAGGAUUAGUGCCCUUAUGAAAGGGACCCCAGAGAGCUAGGUCAACCCUUCUGUCACGGGAGGGCACUGAGACAGUACCAUCUAUGAAGCAGGCAGCAGGCCUUCACCAGACACCACAUUAUAGCAGCUUGUUCUUAGACUUCUCAGCCUCCAGAAUUGUGAGGGAAAAAAAAUACUAUUGCCUAUAAGCUACCCAGUCUAUGGCAUUUUGUUAUAGCAGCUCAGAUCAGCUAAGAGCCAUUGAAUUGAGGUUUCAAUUACUUGCAGCUAAAUGCAUGCUAAUUAAUACAGCUCCUUUAUUGUUUUAUGCAUCUUUUCUAGAAAAAUCUAUCAAUCAGUAUGUUUUCUGUCAAUGUCAUCUGAGAAUUAAGUGUCAUAACCAGAAAGAUCUGGAGAGACAGGAGCACGUUGUACAGUUCCUGAUAUGUAUUUGACACACCCAGACAGGCUGGAAAAGAGCUGGGGUAGGUUUCCUGGGGUAUAAGUAAUUUUCGUAAAAAUUUAGAACUUUUUGAGUUCCAAGGUGAAAGGAGAGGAUUUUGAAAUGCAGAAAAAGAAAAGUUCAGAGGCACAAACUCAGACAGAGCUCCUGUCAGAGGAACCAAGUGCCUAAAAUAGGACAGAGUCUCCAGAUGCAGCGGAAAGGCUGUGAGUCAUCUGACCGCUCAGGUAGGAAAGCGGGACCAGUGUGAAAUGAAGGAGGCACUAAUGAUAAGAGGACAAGAAACCACCAAAUUGCUAUUUAGGGUCAUUGGGAUCUGCAGAGGGAAACAAGGCUGAAGAGACAAGAGGAAAGACACAGCUGUGAGGGUCAAAAUCUAAAAGGAGCUCCUGAAGGGAUGCUUAAUGUUUUCAAGCUAUCAACUGCAGCAUGCUAGGUCUAUCAUCUGUGUAUCAUUGCCAAAGCAAGACCCAUAAACAUCAGAUUUCACUUGGUUAUAGAAUUCAGAGAAAUACUACUGGGGCAAUGACAGGGAAGAGACACUGCACAUUCUCAGUGGAGGAAUCGUCCCCUCUGUCCUUCAACUGGUGCCAUCCAAAAGUUGCUAUGUCAAGUAAUGCUAGCUUCACUCAAAUGCUAUUACCCCUGGUCAACUCACAGUGAUAUGCACUAAUGAGCAACCCAUCUAAUCUGUGAAGCAAUGCUUAAGGAAGGUUUGAGGAAGGACGAGCUGCAGAUCAGCUCAAGGAUGGGACUCAAAUAUCAUGACAGUACCAUGAGCUAAGGUGCCUCUUGCAAGCUGCCUGUCGAGGCCAUCAGUGGGUUAGAACCAAAUUCUUCCAAAAUUAUUGCAGCCUGCAGUCUUCUCAUCUUGUCAUAUAACACUUAACAUUCUGGAAAAGGCCCUGCAUUGGUUUUGAGUGGUAUUUCCAGAAUCUGUGGACCUUUGAAACAACUCCAUUUUGCUGUACUUUCUCCACAAUGGCUCUUUCAGAUAAAUCACUUGUCCGUUCCUGCCUUAGAUGAGGCCUGUGGAAUGACUGCAUCAUUUGCCCUUUCAUUGUUGAAAUGGUUAUCAGAUUUCAGGUAUAUCAAGACUUGCAGAUCAGGCCUCUUACUCUGUGUGACUAACAGGCUCCCCCAGAACAAACCAUCCAGGCACAAACAGGGGAUGCAGCCUGUGGCUAUCCCAUCACAGGUUUCCACACCACAGUGUGAGUCCAUCUUGCUGACUUAACAACCGUAAUUUAAAAAUCACCUUCCAAAUUGCACUGAUUUUAUUUGUUCAAAAGAUAACACACACAUUAUUACAUGACUAUCAUUUUAGGGCAAAGUGGAUGCACGGACAAAUGUUUCAAGCAAGGAGGUAAAACUCUCCUGGAUAAAAAUUCACAGCAUCAAUUUUCUAUUUUCUGCUUCCUGAAUUGCAUUUUCCUGGAUCUGAUGAUUUUCUUCUUUGUAUUCUUGAUGUAUGCAUCGGUAUGUCUUCUUCUGUGUUUGUGUCAUGGAGGCAGCAUUCUUCUUCUUUUUUUUUUUUUUUUUUGAGACGGAGUUUCGCUCUUGUUGCCCAGGCUGGAGUGCAAUGGCAUUAUCUUGGCUCACGGCAACCUCUGCCUCCCGGGUUCAAGCCAUUCUCCUGCCUCAGCCUCCCGAGU